UGACCAGUUGGGAGCUGCUCCUGCGAGCAUUCCAUCUAACGCUGUUCUCUGACUAGGAGUCCCUUCGCACAGAAACUUCAAGACAGCCAGGGGACAACAGGACUGUUAAGUGUGAUGCUGGCUGAGCUUCAUCUUUUUAACCCAGGAAUCUGACAUCACUUUUUCACAGCGGAAAAGAAAGAGGAGAAUUAACUAUGGAAUAAUAG